rnacentral:rRNA from 1 species
GCAGGUAGACUGCUGCUGACGGUGAGGUGUUCWUGUCUUCYUGAUGAUGCCGGCCAUGAYGYGGAGGAUGAUGUUGAUGUUGUUCUUCUUCCUGWMAAACAGGAAGAACACCAGGAAACCGGKGMURAURYCGGAUGGYUGKUUGAACCGCAUGGUUCAAACAUAAAAGGUGGCUUCGGCUACCACUUACAGAUGGACCCGCGGCGCAUUAGCUAGUUGGUGAGGUAAYGGCUCACCAAGGCAACGAUGCGUAGCCGACCUGAGAGGGUGAUCGGCCACACUGGGACUGAGACACGGCCCAGACUCCUACGGGAGGCAGCAGUAGGGAAUCUUCCGCAAUGGACGAAAGUCUGACGGAGCAACGCCGCGUGAGUGAUGAAGGUUUUCGGAUCGUAAAGCUCUGUUGUUAGGGAAGAACAAGUACCGUUCGAAUAGGGCGGUACCUUGACGGUACCUAACCAGAAAGCCACGGCUAACUACGUGCCAGCAGCCGCGGUAAUACGUAGGUGGCAAGCGUUGUCCGGAAUUAUUGGGCGUAAAGGGCUCGCAGGCGGUUUCUUAAGUCUGAUGUGAAAGCCCCCGGCUCAACCGGGGAGGGUCAUUGGAAACUGGGGAACUUGAGUGCAGAAGAGGAGAGUGGAAUUCCACGUGUAGCGGUGAAAUGCGUAGAGAUGUGGAGGAACACCAGUGGCGAAGGCGACUCUCUGGUCUGUAACUGACGCUGAGGAGCGAAAGCGUGGGGAGCGAACAGGAUUAGAUACCCUGGUAGUCCACGCCGUAAACGAUGAGUGCUAAGUGUUAGGGGGUUUCCGCCCCUUAGUGCUGCAGCUAACGCAUUAAGCACUCCGCCUGGGGAGUACGGUCGCAAGACUGAAACUCAAAGGAAUUGACGGGGGCCCGCACAGCGGUGGAGCAUGKGUUUAAUUCGAAGCAACGCGARAACCUUACCAGGUCUUGACAUCCUCUGAMAAUCCUAGAGAUAGGACGUCCCCUUUCGGGGGCAGAGUGACAGGUGGUGCAUGGUUGUCGUCAGCYCGUGUCUGAGAAUGUUGGGUAAGUCCCGCAACGAGCGCACCAUGAUCUAGUGCCMGCAUUCAGUGGGCAMCUCUACGKACUKGCGGUGACAAACSGGGAGGAAAGGGUG